AAACUAACAAGGAUUCCCCUAGUAACUGCGAGUGAAGCGGGAAAAGCUCAAAUUUAAAAUCUGGCGGUCUUUUUUGGCUGUCCGAGUUGUAAUUUAGAGAAGCAUUACCCGCGCUGGACCGUAUACAAGUCCUCUGGAAUGGGGCGUCAUAGAGGGUGAGAAUCCCGUCUUUGAUAUGGACUACCAGUGCUUUGUGGUGUGCUCUCGAAGAGUCGAGUUGUUUGGGAAUGCAGCUCAAAAUGGGUGGUAAAUUCCAUCUAAAGCUAAAUACAGGCGAGAGACCGAUAGCGAACAAGUACCGUGAGGGAAAGAUGAAAAGAACUUUGGAAAGAGAGUUAAACAGUACGUGAAAUUGCUGAAAGGGAAACGCUUGAAGUCAGUCGCGUUGGCUGAGAAUCAGCCUUGCUCUUUUGCUUGGUGUACUUCUCAGUCGAUGGGUCAGCAUCAGUUUUGACUGCUGGAUAAAGGUCAGGGGAAUGUGGCAUCUUUGGAUGUGUUAUAGCCCUUGUUCGUAUACAGCAGUUGGGACUGAGGAACUCAGCACGCCGCAAGGCCGGGUUUUCAACCACGUACGUGCUUAGGAUGCUGGCAUAAUGGCUUUAAUCGACCCGUCU
rnacentral:rRNA from 1 species